rnacentral:lncRNA from 1 species
GAGAAUGGAAUAAAAGAGCCAUUAUACAAUGCCUAGAAGCACAGGGUCAAGGAGACCAAGCAAUGCCAAUGGGAUUGAUGAGAAUCUGCAUAGUGCCUAGGAGCACAAGGUCAAAAAGGACCAAACCAAUCCAGGACUCCUUGUACCACAUUGCUUGUGAAAUACUCUCAGAUGAGUACCGAAGUUUGGCUACCUUCCUGACUCCCGCAUCCCUGAGAGUGAAGACUCAUACAUUCCAUAAUUCAACCAUGUAUCCUGAGCUGAUCUGGGAGUUGGUCAACACCCUUUUCAUGGGAGAUUGUAUUUUCAUAAAAAUACAAUUUAAAAUUUUGUUUGAGAAAAAAAUUUCAGGAAAAGAAGCUUGCUAAUUCCUUACACCCAGAGAAUGAACUGUUUGCAGAAAGAUGCCUAAAAAAACCUACACUGCAUCAAGAAGAUCCAGAAUUAACUUUGGGGUAUGGUUGAUUGAACUGAAGGGGGUUAAACAUUUGUUUUGAUUUACUUUCUCAUUCUUCUAUAUCCCUCUUAUCCUUAACUAAUGUAGUGUCCUCUUUUGAAGUUGCAAUUUUGUAUGCACCUGUAGUUAGAAGAUUUUUAGAAGUAAAAAACGAUUAUGUUAAAUGAUCAAUUGGAGAGACUAGUCUCUCCAAAGAUGGGGGGGGGACUGUGAAGAUGGGAUUAACUCUCCCCUAUUUAUUCUUUAGAUUUUAGCCACCAGAAAUGUAUACAUUCCCCCACUUAAUCCUUAAGUGUGUGUGUGUAUUUAAGAUCUAUGACCCAUGUGUGCUAGGGAGUGAUAAAUAAAAAACAACUGACUGUCCCUUGGGCA